rnacentral:rRNA from 1 species
CGGGGUUAAUAGGUUGGUCAUGCCUCUGGUAUGUACUGAUCUCACUGAUUCCUCCUUCCUGAUGAACCUUAAUGCCAUUAAUUUUGUGUUUUGGGAAUUUGGACUGUUACUUUGAAAAAUUAGAGUGUUUAAAGCAAGCUAACGCUUGAAUACAUUAGCAUGGAAUAAUGAAAUAGGACGUUCGAUCCUAUUUUGUUGGUUUCUAGGAUUGACGUAAUGAUUAAUAGGGAUAGUUGGGGGCAUUAGUAUUCAAUUGUCAGAGGUGAAAUUCUUGGAUUUAUUGAAGACUAACUACUGCGAAAGCAUUUGCCAAGGAUGUUUUCAUUAAUCAAGAACGAAAGUUAGGGGAUCGAAGACGAUCAGAUACCGUCGUAGUCUUAACCAUAAACUAUGCCGACUAGGGAUCGGAUGAUGUUAAUUUUUUAAUGACUCAUUCGGCGCCUUACG